GAUGAACGCUGGCGGCGUGCCUAAUACAUGCAAGUCGAGCGAACGGACGAGAAGCUUGCUUCUCUGAUGUUAGCGGCGGACGGGUGAGUAACACGUGGAUAACCUACCUAUAAGACUGGGAUAACUUCGGGAAACCGGAGCUAAUACCGGAUAAUAUUUUGAACCGCAUGGUUCAAAAGUGAAAGACGGUCUUGCUGUCACUUAUAGAUGGAUCCGCGCUGCAUUAGCUAGUUGGUCAGGUAACGGCUUACCAAGGCAACGAUGCAUAGCCGACCUGAGAGGGUGAUCGGCCACACUGGAACUGAGACACGGUCCAGACUCCUACGGGAGGCAGCAGUAGGGAAUCUUCCGCAAUGGGCGAAAGCCUGACGGAGCAACGCCGCGUGAGUGAUGAAGGUCUUCGGAUCGUAAAACUCUGUUAUUAGGGAAGAACAUAUGUGUAAGUAACUGUGCACAUCUUGACGGUACCUAAUCAGAAAGCCACGGCUAACUACGUGCCAGCAGCCGCGGUAAUACGUAGGUGGCAAGCGUUAUCCGGAAUUAUUGGGCGUAAAGCGCGCGUAGGCGGUUUUUUAAGUCUGAUGUGAAAGCCCACGGCUCAACCGUGGAGGGUCAUUGGAAACUGGAAAACUUGAGUGCAGAAGAGGAAAGUGGAAUUCCAUGUGUAGCGGUGAAAUGCGCAGAGAUAUGGAGGAACACCAGUGGCGAAGGCGACUUUCUGGUCUGUAACUGACGCUGAUGUGCGAAAGCGUGGGGAUCAAACAGGAUUAGAUACCCUGGUAGUCCACGCCGUAAACGAUGAGUGCUAAGUGUUAGGGGGUUUCCGCCCCUUAGUGCUGCAGCUAACGCAUUAAGCACUCCGCCUGGGGAGUACGACCGCAAGGUUGAAACUCAAAGGAAUUGACGGGGACCCGCACAAGCGGUGGAGCAUGUGGUUUAAUUCGAAGCAACGCGAAGAACCUUACCAAAUCUUGACAUCCUUUGACAACUCUAGAGAUAGAGCUUUCCCCUUCGGGGGACAAAGUGACAGGUGGUGCAUGGUUGUCGUCAGCUCGUGUCGUGAGAUGUUGGGUUAAGUCCCGCAACGAGCGCAACCCUUAAGCUUAGUUGCCAUCAUUAAGUUGGGCACUCUAAGUUGACUGCCGGUGACAAACCGGAGGAAGGUGGGGAUGACGUCAAAUCAUCAUGCCCCUUAUGAUUUGGGCUACACACGUGCUACAAUGGACAAUACAAAGGGCAGCGAAACCGCGAGGUCAAGCAAAUCCCAUAAAGUUGUUCUCAGUUCGGAUUGUAGUCUGCAACUCGACUACAUGAAGCUGGAAUCGCUAGUAAUCGUAGAUCAGCAUGCUACGGUGAAUACGUUCCCGGGUCU
rnacentral:rRNA from 1 species